CCAAAUGCAUGCUCAGUAGCGGCGAGUGAAGCGGCAAGAGCUCAGAUUUGAAAUCUCACCUAGUGUGCGAGUUGUAAAUUGCAGGUUGGAGUCUCGGGUUAGACGUGUGUGCAAGUCCCUUGGAACAGGGUGCCACUGAGGGUGAGAGCCCCGUAGCGUGCAUGUCGACACCUGUGAGGCCCUUCUGACGAGUCGAGUUGUUUGGGAAUGCAGCUCUAAGUGGGUGGUAAAUUCCAUCUAAGGCUAAAUAUUGGCGAGAGACCGAUAGCGAACAAGUACUGUGAAGGAAAGAUGAAAAGCACUUUGAAAAGAGAGUGAAACAGCACGUGAAAUUGUUGAAAGGGAAGGGUAUUGGGCUCGACAUGGGAUUUACGCAUCGUUGCCUCUCGUGGGCGGCGCUCUGGGUUUUUCCUGGGCCAGCAUCGGUUUUCGUUGCAGGAUAAGGACAAUUGGAAUGUGGCUCCUCGGAGUGUUAUAGCCUUUUGUAGAUGCUGCGUAUGGGGACCGAGGGCUGCGGCGGACUCGUUUCGUCUCGGAUGCUGGCACAACGGCGCAAUACCGCCCGUCUUAA
rnacentral:rRNA from 1 species